UUUCCUGCGCGUCUUUUAUAAAACAAUAAGAGUUUUGAGGACCACGAAAGAGCUACGUUGGAUGAUAAAAAUAGAAACUACAAGGCAUUGUUCAGGGCGAAGAAUAUAGAAAACGGCGAAAUAAAUUAGUUUUUUCUUUUAGCUAUUAGUUUAUUUAGUUAUAAGUAAAACUGUUUAGAUAAUAUAUAAUUUUAAGUACUCAUUGUUUUAGUUUAAAUACAUUUAAUUUGAAGUACAAUAAACAUUUUAUUUACUGCAUAUA